CUGGCAGAGGCCGAGCGUGGCACGGACCACGAGGCCCGGGCACAGGGAGGGCAGGGCCCCAAACAGACACACACACCGGCCGAGACCGGCAGCCGAGCAGGCCGCGCCCGAGCCCUCCGCCCCUGCCUGAGAAGAGAAGUCACCGUACCCGUCCGCAGGGCGGAGCGGCCCGCGCCGCGCGCUGACACCAGCCACACGAGAGUCGCGCCGAGCGAGGCAGCCGCAGGGCGAAGGCGGGGCUCCCAACGGAAGAAGCCGCCGCGGGACAUGAGUGAUCGCGCUCUAGCCGGGUGGGCGGGAGCAUGACACGGUACCAGUACGUUCUGCGUGCGUGGGCGCGGGGGUGCAAAGGGCGAGGGGGCACGCGACUGUUGUUUAGGUGGCGUGGGCGCGGCUCGCCAUCGCGGGCGCCCCGGAUGGGCACGCCCCGCCGCCCGCUCUCAUGGAGAACCCUGCAGCCGCCGCACAUGGAAAGAGGAGCGCGCUGGGGGUUACAGUGGACGGAAGCCGCCGAGGAACAACCCUGGGACAGGCGCGAGCUCUACUCAACGAGGGCCAACCGCCUUCCUUUACUUCUUCCGUGGCUCUGGGGUCGUUGGGCCCAUAGGGAGGGGCGGUCCGUUGAUUGGUUGCUCCCGCCCACGCCAGUGAUGACAUGCUGUUAUUGUAUUGAAGCUGGUGUGAGUGUUGCCACUGAUUCUCAGCACCCUGCUUUUCUUCUCUCUCUGUUUGGACAGGAGAAAGCCUGCCAGUUUUCCUGUUUGACUUUGGGCAUGUAUAUCGCUUGGGCAGUCUCUCUUUGGAAUCUGUCAUACCACUUCUGAACUGAUGAAAGAUUUUUUUCCUCUCAGGGACGUAGUAUGCAGACUUUUCCACAUCCUUAGCAUGGGAAGUAAACACCAGCCUGCUAAAUGGCAGUGCAGAGGUACAGAGUGUUCCCCACAUGACCGUUGUGCCAUAUACAAUGGGUGAAUAUAACGUAACUGAAUGAUAUGCUGUACAUCAUUUAGCGUACGUCCAGACUACCGUGCCGUAUCAGCGNGGAGUUCCGGAAUUGACACGGAGAGCCGCGGACAUCGAUCCCGCGCUGUCUGGAUGGGUGAGUAAUUCGAUCUUAGAUAUUCGACUUCAGCUACGUUAUUCACGUAGCUGAAGUUGCAUAUCUAAGAUCGAUUCCCCCCCCAGUCUGGACGAGCCCAAACUUACAUGUCAUUUCAUUCCCAUUUAAUAACAUGGACGUAUCAGUUUAAAAACAUGUAAAAGGAUCUGAGAAGCAUAAAAAUUAUCUUCAAACCACUCAUGUAAUAAAGGGGCCAAAAUACAAUGACA
rnacentral:lncRNA from 1 species